CUGGCUCAGGAUGAACGCUAGCGAUAGGCUUAACACAUGCAAGUCGAGGGGCAGCACGGGAUUAGCUUGCUAAUCUUGGUGGCGACCGGCGUAAGGGUGCGUAACGCGUAUGCAACUUGCCUGUCAGUGGGGAAUAA
rnacentral:rRNA from 1 species